GAUGAACGCUAGCUACAGGCUUAACACAUGCAAGUCGAGGGGCAGCAUGGUCUUAGCUUGCUAAGGCCGAUGGCGACCGGCGCACGGGUGAGUAACACGUAUCCAACCUGCCGUCUACUCUUGGACAGCCUUCUGAAAGGAAGAUUAAUACAAGAUGGCAUCAUGAGUCCGCAUGUUCACAUGAUUAAAGGUAUUCCGGUAGACGAUGGGGAUGCGUUCCAUUAGAUAGUAGGCGGGGUAACGGCCCACCUAGUCUUCGAUGGAUAGGGGUUCUGAGAGGAAGGUCCCCCACAUUGGAACUGAGACACGGUCCAAACUCCUACGGGAGGCAGCAGUGAGGAAUAUUGGUCAAUGGGCGAGAGCCUGAACCAGCCAAGUAGCGUGAAGGAUGACUGCCCUAUGGGUUGUAAACUUCUUUUAUAAAGGAAUAAAGUCGGGUAUGGAUACCCGUUGCAUGUACUUAUGAAUAAGGAUCGGCUAA
rnacentral:rRNA from 1 species